UACGGAGGGGGCUAGCGUUGUUCGGAAUUAUUGGGCGUAAAGGGCGCGUAGGCGGCCCGGUAAGUCAGUCGUGAAAGCCCUCGGCUCAACCGAGGAAUUGCGAUUGAAACUGCCAGGCUCGAGUCCUGGAGAGGGUAGCGGAAUUCCCAGUGUAGCGGUGAAAUGCGUAGAUAUUGGGAGGAACACCAGUGGCGAAGGCGGCUACCUGGACAGGUACUGACGCUGAGGCGCGAAAGCGUGGGGAGCAAACAGGAUUAGAUACCCCUGUA
rnacentral:rRNA from 1 species